rnacentral:rRNA from 1 species
AAUAGAUACCCCGGUAGUCCACGCCGUAAACGAUGAGUGCUAAGUGUUAGAGGGUUUCCGCCCUUUAGUGCUGCAGCUAACGCAUUAAGCACUCCGCCUGGGGAGUACGGCCGCAAGGCUGAAACUCAAAGGAAUUGACGGGGGCCCGCACAAGCGGUGGAGCAUGUGGUUUAAUUCGAAGCAACGCGAAGAACCUUACCAGGUCUUGACAUCCUCUGCCACUCCUAGAGAUAGGACGUUCCCCCUUCGGGGGGACAGAGUGACAGGUGGUGCAUGGUUGUCGUCAGCUCGUGUCGUGAGAUGUUGGGUUAAGUCCCGCAACGAGCGCAACCCUUGUUCUUAGUUGCCAGCAUUCAGUUGGGCACUCUAAGGAGACUGCCGGUGACAAACCGGAGGAAGGUGGGGAUGACGUCAAAUCAUCAUGCCCCUUAUGACCUGGGCUACACACGUGCUACAAUGGAUGGUACAAAGGGCUGCGAAACCGCGAGGUUAAGCCAAUCCCAUAAAAACCAUUCUCAGUUCCGGAUUGUAGGCUGCUAA